rnacentral:rRNA from 1 species
GAGUUUGAUCCUGGCUCAGGAUGAACGCUAGCGGCAGGCCUAAUACAUGCAAGUCGAGGGGUAGAGAGAGCUUGCUCUCUUGAGACCGGCGCACGGGUGCGUAACGCGUAUGCAACCUACCUUUAUCAGGGGGAUAGCCCGAAGAAAUUCGGAUUAAUACCGCAUAAAAUCACAGUAUCGCAUGGUACAAUGAUCAAACAUUUAUGGGAUAGAGAUGGGCAUGCGUGUCAUUAGUUAGUUGGCGGGGUAACGGCCCACCAAGACGACGAUGACUAGGGGAUCUGAGAGGAUGACCCCCCACACUGGUACUGAGACACGGACCAGACUCCUACGGGAGGCAGCAGUAAGGAAUAUUGGUCAAUGGACGCAAGUCUGAACCAGCCAUGCCGCGUGCAGGAAGACGGCCCUCUGGGUUGUAAACUGCUUUUAUUCGGGAAUAAACCUACUUUCGUGAAAGUAGCUGAAUGUACCGAAGGAAUAAGGAUCGGCUAACUCCGUGCCAGCAGCCGCGGUAAUACGGAGGAUCCGAGCGUUAUCCGGAUUUAUUGGGUUUAAAGGGUGCGUAGGCGGCCUAUUAAGUCAGGGGUGAAAGACGGUCGCUCAACGAUCGCAGUGCCUUUGAUACUGAUGGGCUUGAAUGUACUAGAGGUAGGCGGAAUGUGACAAGUAGCGGUGAAAUGCAUAGAUAUGUCACAGAACACCGAUUGCGAAGGCAGCUUACUAUGGUAUGAUUGACGCUGAUGCACGAAAGCGUGGGGAUCAAACA